UGACAGUUUAUAAAUGUUGAAUAUUCAGGAUAUCUGAGUAGUAGGUGCGCAUUAGCUGCUUUUGCAUAAACCCAUUAGUUUGCCAACACCAUUUCCUAAUUCUUGAUCAUGUUGGCUUGUAAACUCUUUGUUUGCUUCAUCGUUGCAUUGAGUUGCUUCAAGCUGAUAGGACUUGCUGAGUCUAGGGUGCCUCAACAGGAAGGUGAGUAGUGUUCAAUGUUUCUAUUAUUGGCCGGUAUUUGGAAAUGCCUAGAAGCUGUAUGAGAAUAUGAACGAGAGAAUAACAAACGUUGGGUCUCAUCAGAGUUGCUUGGGUUAGUUGGUCUGAUCUUUUGCAUUUCAUAAACCAAAAAUGGUAGUUUUCUCUUAUUUGGUUUUAGUAUUUCUUGGCAACCAAACUGAAGAUUGUGACUUUUUACAUCAGAAGUCUAUGACUCAUGAGCAUAGAGCUUGAUUACUCUUCUUACUGUCUUGCAAUUUGUUGUGUAAAUAUAUGCUCAUCUCAUUCUAUACUGGUUUGUUAUCUGAUGCAUGUAUUACUUGAAUACCUAAACCUUUUAGUUGAUGCUCUCCAACAAAUUGCUACCACGAUUGGCGCAAUAUAUUGGAAGUUUAAUGGUGAUGCUUGCCGGAUUGAAAUGGUUGGUCUAACAGAGAAGCCGCCAGAGGAAUCUGAGAGCACAACUGAAUGUGAAUGCCACUUCGAGAACAACACAGUUUGUCAUGUCGUCAGAUUAGUGCUCAAGCGUCAUUUGCUUACACCUGAACUAGUCAAGCUCCCUUACCUCCGAGAAAUUGAUUUUGCUUACAACUAUCUCAAUGGUACGAUACGGAAGGAAUGGAUUUCAAUGAAAUUAACUUCUAUAUCUGUUCUUGUUAAUCGCUUAUCGGGGAAAAUUCCAAAGGAUUGGGAAAUAUAACUACUCUCAAGUACCUGUCCCUUGAAACAAACCAGUUUUUUGGCAUUCUUCCUGCUGAGCUUGGUUACCUGAUCAAUCUGCAGACUUUGGUGCUUUCCCCUAUUGCGCUGACUGGAAAGCUGCCAAAGACAUUUGCUCGGCUAACAAAUUUGACAGAUAUACGUUUAAAUGAUAACAACCUCAAUGGAACAAUCCCCGAUUGGGGGCAGAACUGGAAACAACUCAAUAGAUCGUAAGAUCCUAUCCGUUUGUAAAACAAGUUUUACACUGACCUUUGAAUUUUGAAAAUUUUAUAAGCAGAAAAUCAUUCUUUGCUUAUUGAAAUCUUGUCUUUUCGAAGGGAAAUGCAUU